rnacentral:rRNA from 1 species
CCUACGGGUGGCUGCAGUGGGGAAUAUUGGACAAUGGGGGGAACCCUGAUCCAGCCAUGCCGCGUGUGUGAAGAAGGCCCUCGGGUUGUAAAGCACUUUCAGUGAGGAAGAACGCCUGGUGGUUAAUACCCAUCAGGAAAGACAUCACUCACAGAAGAAGCACCGGCUAACUCCGUGCCAGCAGCCGCGGUAAUACGGAGGGUGCGAGCGUUAAUCGGAAUUACUGGGCGUAAAGCGCGCGUAGGUGGCUUGAUAAGCCGGUUGUGAAAGCCCCGGGCUCAACCUGGGAACGGCAUCCGGAACUGUCAAGCUAGAGUGCAGGAGAGGAAGGUAGAAUUCCCGGUGUAGCGGUGAAAUGCGUAGAGAUCGGGAGGAGUACCAGUGGCGAAGGCGGCCUUCUGGACUGACACUGACACUGAGGUGCGAAAGCGUGGGUAGCAAACAGGAUUAGAUACCCUAGUAGUC